GUGGCAGCCGCCGCGGUAAAACCAGCACCUCAAGUGGUCAGGAUGAUUAUUGGGCCUAAAGCAUCCGUAGCCCGCUUUGUAAGUUUUCGGUUAAAUCCAUGUGCUCAACGCAUGGGCUGCCGAAAAUACUGCAUCGCUAGGGAGUGGGAGAGGUAGACGGUACUCGGUAGGAAGGGGUAAAAUCCUUUGAUCUAUUGAUGACCACCUGUGGCGAAGGCGGUCUACCAGAACACGUUCGACGGUGAGGGAUGAAAGCUGGGGGAGCAAACCCGAUUAGAUACCCGGGUAGUCCCAGCUGUAAACGAUGCAGACUCGAUGAUGCAUUGGCAUAAUAGCCAGUGCAGUGUCGCAGGGAAGCCGUUAAGUCUGCCGCCUGGGAAGUACGUACGCAAGUAUGAAACUUAAAGGAAUUGGCGGGGGAGCACCACAAGGGGUGAAGCCUGCGGUUCAAUUGGAGUCAACGCCAGAAAUCUUACCCGGAGAGACAGCAGAAUGAAGGUCAAGCUGAAGACUUUACCAGACAAGCUGAGAGGUGGUGCAUGGCCGUCGCCAGCUCGUGCCGUGAGAUGUCCUGUUAAGUCAGGUAACGAGCGAGAUCCCUGCCGCUAGUUGCUAUCAUUAUUCUCAGGAAUAAUGGAGCGAAUUAGUGGGACUGCCGUUGUUAAAACGGAGGAAGGAAGGGGCUACGGCAGGUCAGUAUGCCCCGAAACUCUGGGGCCACACGCGGGCUGCAAUGGUAGUGACAAUGAGUUCCAAACUCGAAAGAGAGUGGCAAUCUCUAAACGCUACCACAGUUAUGACUGAGGGCUGUAACUCGCCCUCACGAAUAUGGAAUCCCUAGUAACCGCGUGUCAUUACCGCGCGGUGAAUACGUCCCUGCUCCUUGCACACACCGCCCGUC
rnacentral:rRNA from 1 species